rnacentral:lncRNA from 1 species
GGUGGUCAAAUUUAACAAUUAUACUUUUAAUUCAAUUAAAUUGUAAACCAAAACUUUAUGGAUUUAUUAAACCUCUUUUAAUUAUACACCUUAAUUAAUUAAUAAAACCAUAAGGGUGUGAUUUGAACUUUUCAAAAACAAUACUAGGGUUUUAGAAUUUAACAUUCCUAAAUUAAACUUUUAAUCAACUUUUAAAUUCCAAAACUUGAGGGCAAGUUUUGAAACAUUUAAAAACAUUAGGGUUUAGAAUUUAAAUAUACAUCAAAAUUAAACUUUUAAUCAAAAUUUAAAUUCCAAAACUUGAGGGCAAGUUUUGAAACCUUUUCAAAACAUUAGGGUUUCAACUAUUUAAAUUUCAAAACAAAACUUUUGAGUUCAAAUUUAAACUAUAAAACCUAAAGGGGAAAAUUGAAAAUUUUCAUAACACAAGGAUCAAAUAACAAAUAAUAUAAAAUAAACAAUUAAUUUCAUCAUUAUCUAUAUUUGACCUAAUUUCAAUUUCUUGCAAAAUAAGUUACCCAAUUAAUACAAACAAUCAAACUUUAUCAUAUAAGGAAGUUAUUAUCUAAUCAAUUGGUAAUUAUCUUUUGUUUAAUCAAGGAUAUACUCAUAAAUAUGUAUAAAAUCGGACUUUAAUGACCUAAAACAGAUAAGGCAAGUAUCCAUGAGUAAAACAGCAAGAAAUCCCGAAAAUAGCUCCAUCUGACGCUCGAACUCGCCGAGUACCACACUGGACUCGCCGAGUUGAGGCCUACUCGCCGAGUACAUUGUGGUACUCAUCGAGUUCAUCAGGCAGAUGGGCCAAAAAUCGAAUUUGCAUCUUGAACAAACAUACAAGGCAUCAAUACAAUAGAAACCAAUCAAUGCUCUGAUACCACUGAUGAGUUUUAUCCAUAAGAACAUCCUAUGUGCUCAUACAAACCCUAAUGCUUGGAUCUAGGUUUCUCUAUUGUACAUGCAAUCCAUCCAAGACUAUAAACCCUAGAUCUAAAAUAUGAUAAUCAAUAUAACAUAUGAAUUAGGGUUUAGAUCAUACCUUGAUUGUUAUGUAGCAAUAACAAUCUCAAAUCCUUCUUGUAUUGACUUUAGAAAGCUUAGAGUCACAAAUGUCACUCCUCUAAUGGUUCACAAACACCAAGAGCAAGAGGAUGAAGAAGAGAAGAGAAGGAGGCUGCCCAAAACGUGUGAAAACCCUAACCAACAAGUUCACCACGUUUUUGAGCCUUAAGGGUCCUAUAAAUAGUGAGGCUAUUAGGGUUAUCUAACAAGGAAACCCUAAUUUGGAUGCUUAAGCCCUAAGCAACCCAUGGACUCCUUCCUUAAAAGGCCUAGGACGAUUUCUAAUGGGUUUCCCCAUAGAGUUCGUCAACCCCUUUAAUAUGGAGUCCAUUAGCUCAAUAUUCAACUAUCAUACAAUUGACAGUUCUAGUCCCUUAAGUUAAUUAAUGUAUUUUAGCCACAAAACUAAUUACUAAUUAAUUCUUGACUAAUAUUAAUUAAACAAUAUGAUUUCUCCUUUAAUAUAUUAUUCUCAUAAUAUAUUAAUAAAUCAUAAUUAAUCAUUUCUCUCCAUAAUGCAUCCUAUCAAGUUGCUUUGGUGAAGGCAACCCAAAAGGACCAUGCACCAUCGGGUCAAGUACAUACCAAAAUAGUUAUGGACUUAGACACUAAUCCAACAAAUAUGAUGAUCAAGGCUAGAGUUGUACUUUUGCUCAACUUCUCCCAGUGUAUGCUUGAACCGCAAUGAGAUAAGCUGAUCUAGCUGUUUUGCCCUUUCAACAUCAGAGGGCCUAGAUUUCUUCACUUCGGACAAAGACUGGAGGAUAGCAUCAAGCUUGGUGUCGAGGCUGGAGACUUUGGCAUUGAUCUUGAAAUCGAGCUUUGCCACAGAUUUGUCUAGGGACUCUACCUUUGAAAUAGUAGCAAUAAUGUUGUCUUGAAGUUCCAACAGGGCAAAUGGAUUAGCAUAGUUUUCGGCUGAUGAUCCAAUGUCUGAGGUGGAACUCUCACACUUAGCUUUGUCAUCAUCUUUGUUGAUUGGAGGUUCUAAAGGAGUAGGAUUGUUUUCUAUUGGAUUUUCUUUGGGAGGGUUCAAUUUAGUUUCACCUCCAAGUGUAUUAUGGACUUGGUCAUUUAUGUGAAUUGCUUCAUUACAGACUCUGAAGAAGACGUCAUCAGUCCUAAGCCAUAGACAAGUCUUGAUGAUCAUGGCUUUUGUAGUGGAUCAGGUGAAGAGAAGAGCAUGGGAGCAACAACGGAUGCGCUGUCAUCAUCGAACAUGAAAUCGGUUGAAUGUUCUUUGUCUGGAUUAGGAUGGAAGGCAUCAUGAUGAGGAGACUUCGGAGGAUCGUCCAAAAUGAUUGUGGUGUGCGGAGCUUCUCCUUAUGAAAAUUCCUGAUCAGUGAUCUCAUUAGUGGGAGGAACAAAGGGUAGGUUGCUUUGAAUGGCUUGAUUCCUCAUUACAAUAAGGUGGAUUCAACCUGUGAAUGAGUGAGCUCUGGAUGUCUUCUAUUAGCCCUAUUGGAAAAAUCUAUCUAAUCUGGAUCGUUAGAACGUAGUCGUCCUUUACCUGAGCUAGGUAUCAGACCAGUUGUGGCUCCUGAAGUUGGAGGGACAACCCUAGCUUCAGAAAGCUUAGGAUCCGAGACAGGGUUCUCUGAUCAUGCUUGUGUGGAAAAAGGAGGGAUACCCGAGAUGACUCGUGAGUGUGUUCCAGGGGGGUGCAAGGAAGUUUUUUCAACAUCGGCAUCAACUUUUUGGGAAGGUGAGUGGAACAUCCCAAAAAUACAGACCAAAAAAUUCUUUUUAAAUCAUUUAGUAAAAACCAUAAUCCAUCAAUAUCAUAAUAAAUCACAAAUCAUAUCCCUCAAAAACAUCAUGUCAAAUACUAUAUCAAGAUCAUGUGAGAAAAAUAUCAGAGUCUAAACAAUCCCAGGCUAAAAUUGUGGUGCAUGCCAUGUGAUCAUCCCGAGCCCUUUCCCUUGCUAGUGGAAGUACCUGGAACCAAAACUGAAAAUUGUAAGCACAAAGCUUAGUGAGUCUCCCCAACUCCCACAUACCAUACAAAUAUCACAUAACAUAUCUUGUGCCCCGCCCCUGCUACAUCGAGUCAAGCUCGGCAUCGGCUUUUCCGGUAUCGGGCCCCGUCCGACAUCGAACCUUACUCGGCAUCGGACCCCGCCCGACAUCGAGCAGAUCUCUUCAUACAUAUAAAAAUAUCAAUAUAUAACAUAAGCACAUAAUACUAACAUGUAAACAUUCCUCGGGCCCCGCCCGACAUUGGACCGUGAUCCGAAAACAUACUAACAUUCCUCGGGAACCGCCCUGGCAUCGGACUGAAGUACGGAACAUACUAUCAUAACAUAUUAACUAGACAUUCCUAGGGCUUGCCCCAACAUCGGUCCUAAGCCCGAAACACAUAACACAUAACAAACACAUGCAAGAAUCAUAAAGACAUCAAGCAUACAAACAUACAAGCAUUCCUCAGGAUCGCCCCGACAUCGGAUCGAAAUCCGGAAAACAUAUAAACCUACUUCGGAUCCCGUCCGGCAUUGGACCGUGGUCCGGAACUACUACUAUCUAAACGAGCCGACCUUGGUGCCUUAGACCCGUUCCUACAGGAGAAAACUCACCUUGCAAGGCUAUCUGUAGAAUCUCGCAGUGAGGAAUAUUUGAUAGCUUUUCCAACGACUCCCCAACUAUCAAUAUCACAAUAAUACUUAGUCAAAAACCUGAUAAUCCUUCUCAAGGUAAAAUAACCAUUUUACCCUUGGUCAAAGUCAAAGUCAAGUUCAACUCUUAGUCAACUCCAACUCGUCGAGCUAUCUCCUUAUUUGGCGAGUUCAUGUACUACUCAGACUUGUGGUCAACCGAGUCAACUCGUUGAGUCCCUUCCCAAACUCAUCGAGUUAUUCCAGUCAUAAAUCGGGACACAACAACUUUAACUCGUCGAGUCCUUCAUUGGACUCGUUGAGUUCUUCAGUUUCCGAGUCCUAAUCUUGCCCAACUCACUGAGUCAUCACCUAGACUCAAAGGUUUCACUCAAAACCAAAAAAGGGUUAGGGGACCAUGACCCGACUCAACGAGUCGCAAGAACAACUCGUCGAUUCCCCCAAAGCCAAAACCAUACAGUUGAUUCUAAUCAAUUUCAAUGCUUCCAACUCAUAGAUCUGGACUCCUUAGACUAGCAUUACACGUAAAGUUGCUAACUUUACGUGCAUGCAUGGUGUUAUGAAGCUAAAAAACCCACCACAAGCUACAAUGGAGGUCUAAGUCAUAUAAUAGGGCCAUGGCUAAAUAUUUGUGCUCCCAAAGCUCAAGAGUGCCCGGAUCUGGAGUCCUUACAUCCCCAAGAGUUUAAAUAUCAUAAAUGACCUUGGAAAUGGCCCAAAAGUGACAAUAUACAAGCUCAAAAGAAGAUCUAAGUGAUUAGAAGUCAAGGUAUAAGCUUUAUACCUCUAUCAAAACAGAAAUGAGUCCUUAGCUCUGGAUCAUCAGCCUCCCCCUGCAACUUCAAGUCCUUUCUUCCUUCUUCUAGCUUUAAAUCACAAAAAUGGCAAGAAAUAGCUCAAGAUCACUCAAGGUUGAUUAGGGUUUCGAGAUUAGGUUUUGGAGGUGAUGGAGGUUGGGGUGGAGGCCAGAUAUGAUGCAUAAAUAGAGUGCAAGCCCUAUAGAUUAGGGUUUUCAUCCAGAUUGUCCUACUCGUCAACUCAAUACUCCGACUCGUCGAGUAGUUCACUUAAAACCUGUGCAUAUUCUGCCUUCUACUCGGCGAGUUAGGGACACCAAAUCGUCGAGUAGUCCUUCCAAAAUGAAUAAAUAAUUGAGUUAAAUGCAUACCAAGAACCAAACGUUACAAUGAGGGUGGAUUAUGCGCGACUCCCCGUGUGUGUGUGUGUGUGUGUGCAAGUGGUGAUAUUUGCAUAUUUAGUUCAUAUUAAGUAUACAUUUUUAUUCAUUUAUUAGCUAAAUUAUUGCAUAUUAUGGACAAAAGGUACUUAAAAGUGUUAAAUUAUGUUUUUCAGUCGAAAGAUGAAGCUCGGAAGCGAAAGGAAGCGGGAGAAACAGUUAGAAGAUCGAGAAUGGAAUAAAGAAGAAAAACAUUAAAAAUGGCACCUACUCGGCGAGUCAGAUCGACUACUCGGUGAGUCCAAUCGAAGAAUCGAGAAGAUAAUGACUUGGGAUCCCAGAGAGUUAUCACAAUACAGGGAAUGUGAGAGGGACUCGACCAGUCACCACUUGACUCGACGAGUCGAUUCGUAUAUUUAAAGAUAAUUACACAGAUCGAUAGAGGAGAGUUCGGGGACGAUUCAGAAGUACUUAGCUACGAUUGAGAAGCCAGAGAAACCCUAGAAGACGACGAAGGAAGCUAGAAUUCAAUCCCGGAGAGUAAUUGAGGCAAAAUUUCAUCAUUCCAUUUAUUCUUUUGUUUUAUCAUUAUGGUUAAGCAACUUGACUUUGUUUGUUUGCUGUUAUUUACUUCAAUUAUGAGCUAAAACCUUUAGACUUCUGUUUGGGGAUACAAAGUUGACAAUAUGGUUUGAUUGAUUGGUAGGAUUAAUUCCAAGUUGGUGAAUUUUUGUUAUUUUAGCUUGCUAAAGAACCUUGUGUGUGAAUAAUAAUUAAUUUUCUGUUAAUAGGAAGAUAAUUGAUUAGCAUGAACAUCUAUUGAUUAUUAACCUCAUAUGCUAUGUGAUCACUAUGCUAUAUGUCUAGGAUUAAUGAAUAUGAAACUAGAAUUAAUAAGAAAAAUUGAGUAAAUUCAUGUGCAAGCUUGUAAGAUGACCAUCAAACAAGAAGUUAAUUAAAAGAAUAAAUUAGUUAACUAUUGCAAGUCUAAUUUAACCCGAAUAAUUAAUCUAGUGAAUAUAAUUAAAUUAGACAAUUGGCCACUGUUUAAGUUAGUUUAUUUGCUAAGGAUUAGGGUAGUGAAUACGAAUCUAAUCACUUGAAUCGGUAACCAACGAAAGAAUUAAUCCAUUGCACCAUUACCUUGAAAUCAACCAUAGAGUUAACCAAGUUGAACUAAACAGAAGUUCCUUUCCAAUUAUGGAAUCUAGUUAAGUCGUUAUUUUCUAGUCUUAAAUUAGUAAUAGUUAGUAAGUUUCUAGUCUUGUAAAACUAGAGAAAACCCCUACUUCUUAAUUAACUUAGAUAAAAUUAGUUUUUAAUAUAAUUUGCCGUUCCCUGUGAUCGAUACCCUGCUUAGUUAGCUAUACCACAAUUGAUAGGUUCACUGCCUUUUGUGUGUUAUUUGAUAAUUAAAAGUAGGUUUAAAACUAAGUGAGUUUGCACACAUCAGUGGUAUUGAAACUAUGAAGGGUACUUCAGAAAAGUGGCUUGGGGGGAAGGGGGUGAGUUGAUGACUAGAGUCAGUCGGAAUGUCAUUGAGUAUUUCCUGUUGAGAGGAAACAUUGACUUUGGCUCUCUUUUUGGUUUUUGGUUUAAUGGGAGAAGUCUUUCAUUUGGCUACCUUCCUUUUCGUGCCACCAGCUGAGACUGGUUUGACCACAUCCGAAGGUUGUUCAACAAAGACUAGGAUGGACUGUGUUGGGUCAUACACAGUCGAAGUCUCUAAAUGAUACUUCAAGAAAGGGGACUCGGAUGGUAAAGUGGCCAACAUAUGGUGAUAUAGUCUACGUAUGGGUCCGAAGGAGGAUUGAUUUAGAAGUCUAUAGAUCCUUAGAACCUUAAAGGAAAGAAAUACCUCUUUUGGCUUUGUGUUUAUCAGAAUGGGCUCUUGUCUCUCUCGGUAGAGUUGUUGAAGUGUGAGAGCCCAGAACCUCGGACUUGAAAUUUCUUGAGGAUUCCUCUUCACAGCAAAUUUCUGAAAGUCUUGCCAUAAGACCUCGGACAGAUCCAUGGCGUUGGUUCUCCCUGAGUAAAUAUUAUACACAACAUAGAGACAAUCUUUGCUCAUCGUUUCCGCCCCUCCAUGCUUGCCGAAGACACCUUGAAGAAUGAGGUGCAUAAGGAUAGUCCAAAGGCCAGAGACUUCAGAUUUCUUGAAUUUCUUGGCCUUGAAUUCUUCUAUGUAUCCAAUCUCUUUCAGAAACGUCUAGAAAUCUUUAGUGGUUGGUUCCUACACUAUAAAACCCUUGGGGUUUUCUAUUAUUCCUAUUACCUUGAGAAAGGUUUUCUUCGUUACUGGAAUGAUGCGAUCUCCAGUGAUCUUGGUAUCUAGCACUCCGUCUUGGAUAUUGAUCCUUUCAAAUGCAUUAUGAAGGAUCCUGAGAUGAAUUUGCAGAUUUAGGGGUUUUUGUGUGUGGAAUGGCGAUGGGAUGGCGAGAGAUGAACUCAAUCAUUACUCUAAUGGAUUUAUCAUAAUCCAUUGGAUUGAGGGAGAAGAUUUUAGUGGUUUCAUGAAGGAAAGGCUCUGUUGAAGAAGAUGAAACAGAUCCUUUGGUGGAUUUCUUCUUUGGAGGAUUUCUUGAGAUUUCAGGAGCACUAUGGGAUGAAGUCAUUGCUGCAAGUUUGGAGCUCGAAGAAUAGCUUUUGCAAAGAGAAUAAGGGAAGAUGAUGAUAAGAGCGUAAAAAAGGAACUGAUGGAUUUUGAAAUACUUUUAUAGUUUGGAGAAUUGGGUCGUGUUGAGAGAAGGUGUAAUGAUUAUACCCGAUUUGCAAAUGGAUCGCAUUAAAUGUGUUGCCAAAAUUGGCAUGUGUUUGACCUGCAAGGAAAAAAGGUGCAAUGACAAUACGUGUGAAUUGGAAAACCGUCGUUUUAGUUGAAAGGAUGUGCACUUUAUCGAGACGUGUGCAAAAGCGCGAUAAUUUAGGAUUAAAAUAUAAUCAUAAAAAAAUAACCGUUUGAGUCAUUAAAGAAAACGUUUCGGAAAAAAAUUAAUGAAAAACCUUUUGAACUUCUUUGAAACGGGAGAUCUCAGAAUAAGGAAAUUCCGAGAUGGAUUGUCAUAAGAUGCUUCUGAUGUGAAAAUGAAAACACUUUACAUGAUAUAGAGUUCGAGAUUGCACAGACUCGGACUGAAUAUCAGAGGUAAAAUGUAAGAAGAUAUUAGAGGACAUAUUUUAAACAUAUUUUGAGAUUCCGAGAUGUGAAGAGUCAGAGCUCAGACAAGGAUAAGAGGUGAAGAAGGCUCAUUACCAUUUCGGACUUGAAGACCGAGUAAAUCAUUUGGCUACCAAUCUUGCUUUGUUUCGAAUAAUUACUCUAGCUUCAUCUAGCUUGUUUUAGAAAACCCAUCUUGUACCAACAAUAGGGUCAUCUUGAGGAGGAGGGACAAGAGUCACACUUCAUUUCUGUCGAAUUCUGUUGACUCUUUUUGCAUGGCUGUAAUCCAGUCAACAUGUUCUGAUGCUUCCUUGAUGGAUUUUGAUUCGACCAUUGAGAUAAAUGUCGAGAAAUGACAUUCAUUUUGGAUAUUAGUAGCAGAGAGAGUUUGUACACCGGCGUUGAUAUUUCCUAUAACUUGGUUUGGAGGAUGAUCCUUUGUCCAUAAAUGUAAUCUCGGAAGCUCCUGUAAAGCUGAUCAUCUGAUAUUAACAAUGGGGUUAUGUAGCUCCCCUAAACAAUUUGAAUUUGUGGAUGAUGCUCCCCCGGAUCUUUUGAACCAGAGAUAUCUAUUUCGUAUUCGUUCGGAAAGUCAAAAAAGUCAACAUCACCGUCGUUGUUGUUCGGAAUAUGAUUGAAUUCAACAAAUUUAUCCACUGCAUCUUGGAAUCCUUUAAGAUUUGAUUCAAGAGAGGGAAGACCAUUCUCCCCCUCAACCUGAGAAGGUUGAAAUGGAUCUGAAUCAAAUGGAGAAAAAGUGAGGGUCGGACCAGAAACAUUUUAGGAAAUUUGAGCUGCAGUUGACGACGGUCUUGAUUGAGAUUCCGAAUCAAGAUUUGUUUUUGAUGGGCCGAACAUGGUUUUAAAGUCAACUUCAUGAAUGAUUUGAGGAUUCGGACAUCCUAGAGUUGGAGCAUCCGACUCCAUGAUGUGGGUUGUGACAUAGGUUGGGCCAGAAUUCCGAACAUAGUUGUCAUCGAAGGUGACAUAAAAAUUUCCUUAAGAACACAAGUCCGACGAGUCAGAACUUGGUAAGCUUUGAUUUUGCUGAGUAUCCAAGGAAGAUGGCUUCAUUGGCUUUAGGAUGAAAUUUCGUGAGUUGAUCAAGGUUGUUUUUGAUAAAGCACUGGCAGCCAAAGACAUGUAGAAAUGAGAUACUCGGCUUACGACCUUUCAUGGCUUCAUACGGUGUCAUGUUGAGGCGUCAAUUGAUGAUGCUUCGAUUUUGAGUGAAGCAGGAAGUGGACACGGCUUCAGCCCAAAGAUAAAGUGGAAGAUUUUCAAAGUUUAGCAUCGAUUUAGUAGCUUCAACUAGAGUUAUGUUUCUUCUUUCAACCACAUUGUUUUGUUGAGGAGUAUAGGGAGCUGAAAAAUUAUGGUCAAUGCCUUUGUCAGAGAGGAAUUUUUCAAUGGUGACAUUAUCACUUCAGAUCCGUCUUACCGGUAGUUUGACAAGAACUUCAAUUCCUUUGAUAAAGUUGAUAAGUUUCGAGGCUGUCUCAGAUUUCAGCCUGAGGAAGAAGACCCAAGUGAACCUUGUAAAAUCAUCCACAAUCAUAAGAAUGUACUUUUUGUGAUGCAGACUUUCUACAGUGUAAGGUCCACAAAGAUCAAUAUGAAUGAGUUCUAAUGGUUCCGAAAUUGAUUUUCCAAUAAUAAAAGGGUGACCUUUUAUGGAUUGCUUCCCACAUUCACAUGCAACACACAAAUGAUCGUUUUCAAACUUGAGGAGUGGCAGACCUCUGACCAUUUCACCGGAAACAAGAUCAUUCAUAUAUCAGAAGUUAAAGCAUGCAAGCCUCCGAUGCCAUAACUAACUGACGCCGGGAACAACUUUUAAUAUUAAACAGAGUUGAGGGUUGGCAAUGAUCAUGUUGAUGUCUUGAGGAUACGUAUUCUUGUUGCAAUCCGAUUUGAUGAGACAUUAUUUUCGGUCUUCUGUCAUAACGUAGCUAUGUUUUUUGCAGAACUCAACCUUUGGUUGGAGUCAGUGAGUUGAGCUACAUUUAUCAAUUUGUGCUUUAGGUCAACUACAUAAGCUACAUUUGAGACAGAGAAAUUACCAUUGGUGAGGAUGACAUAACCUCAAAUCUAAGAGUUGGAGUUGUUUCCAUACGUCAUAUAGCCAACAUUUGGUGAGAAUUUGAGAUCACGGAAAAUCUUUAUGCUCCGUCAUGUGCAUGGAACAAGCGUUAUCGAUAUACCAUAUUGUAUCUUGUUCCGAAGCAUAGAGUGCCUGCAAAAAUCAGUGAAUUUUGGAGUUUUUAGGCUCCGAGUUAGGUUUUGGUACUUGGGCACGGGCUUUUGACUUAUGUUGUGACUUUUGAGCAACAAAUGUCUCGGAGGGUUUGUUCUGAGAUUCUUUUGGAAAGAAGCAAAAAUCCAUGGUCUUUUCAUUGAUCCAGAAUUCAUAUUCAACAACAGGUUGUUUGGAAACAACUUUUCCCAGACCAGCAGUUUUUGGAGCUAUAGGAAUCACAGUGUUACUUGGAGUUGCAACUUCUUUUUUGGCAUUUUAACUUUCCACUCAAAUUUUUGGUUUGAAUCUUUUGAAUUUUUUUUGAGUAACAGUGUUUUUGUCAACUCGUUCUUUGUUUGCUACUUUUGAUGGCACAUUCAGUUUUGAAAGUUGUUAUGGUUUGAAAAUCGUACCAUCAGAUUUAGCAAUGAACACAGUCGAAGUUGUUCGGGAAGAGUUAGUAUUGGUGGGAUGAGUAUCAACCGUCUUUUCCGGAAUGGUACUAACAACCUUGUUUUGAGCUACCGAACUAGGAGGAUUAGAAUGCCUCUUAAGAAUCUAAAAUAGGCGCAAAGGUGUUGUGGCUCCUAGUAGAUGGGCUUACAGUCCGAGAUACUUUCUUCUUAGAAUUCUCAAUGAAUCUGGAGUCAUGUCUUGACCUAAUUUCCUUUUUGAGGGAAUUUUUGGCUUCUAUCUUAGGAUCGACGACAUGUUUCCUAUUUAACUAUGGUUUCUUCCUGGAGCCAGAUGAUGACUUGGAAGAUUGGCCUGCGGAUGGGUUGUUAAAAGUAGGCUUGAUUGGUACAAAGGUUUUUUUUGAAAUCACUUGAGAAUUAGAAACACAAGAGUUAUAUGAAUAAUCUACUAAGAUUUCUUCUUAUACGUCACUAUCAAAAGAUGCCUAGACAAUAUAUGAUUUAUCCGAGUCAGGUCCAGUUGUCUCCGAAAUUAUUUCCUCAAUAACACAAUUGUUAAGAGGAAUGAGGUUCGGAAUUUGAACUACAGUAUGGGUGAUGCUAGGGAGGGAUUUUGAAAUCUGAUUCAGGUCCUGGGUAUCAGAGGCAGAAGAGGCGUGGAAUCAGGACAAUUGACAACUAUGGGUUGAAACUCAGGAAUCAAAGAUGAAAAUCAGUCUGAGUUCUCAGGAAGGGGUGACAAUGAUGAGACAAGAGUAUCUGAAUGUUUGUGCUUCGAAAUGUCUCCCAUAAAAGUUAGAUAUUGUAACUCCUUCAAGGUACAGGCAAUAGGUUUCGAAAACUCGCUUCCGAGACCAGGUGUUUUGGACCAAGGAUGAAGAAAAUUAUGAGUCAUUUGUUCAGUGGCUUCAAGAAUAUCUAUGGCAUGAUGUAAAGCAUCAAUUUUGGCAUUCAGACGUUUGUUAUCAGAAAUUAAAACAUUCCUUUCAGAAUAAGUGAUUUCACAAUUGUCUUUAAGAAUGAUACAAUCAUCUUGUGACAUUACAAGUUCACGUUCUAACGACUCUAUCUUAAGAUUCCUAUCCUCCAAACGUAAUUUAAGACGACUCAAUUCACUUUCCAUAUUCUCACUUGCUUCUAUGGUAGACUCAUAGGAUUUAUAGAUGAUGUUCAUAUCUUUUUGGAUCUGGGUUAGAUAUGGUUCACAAAGAGAUAAAUCAAAAUUAUUAUCAAUAAUCAUUAAUUUUACCUGUUGAAUGAUGCUUCGACCUAGUGGAUCGUUGGUUGCCAUGUAGCAUAAAUUUGGCUAAGUGAUCUUUAUAUGCACGCAAAGGUAUUGAAAAGCCCUAAAAUUUUAUCUAUUUACUUUUUAAUUAAAACAUACCAAACUAAAUUCAUUAAUUCAUGAUGCAUGAUCCCAAAUAUCACUUUGCCCAUUUUACCCUUUGGCUCCAACGCACAAUUCAAGGGAUUAAAUCUCUUAACAAACAUUAUCAACAUCCAAUAAGGUCUAAACUCUAUUACUUUGAAGCCCAAUACUUUUAUUUGAUCAAAUUAAGGUCCAUCUACCCAAAAUCAGAAACAUCCUGAAACUGGAUGUUACACAAGUAGUAUCUAAAUAGACUUUAUCUUGGCUACCGUUGAGAACAUUUCCUUAUAAUCAAUUCUAGUGUAACCUUUGCCACCAACCUAGCCUUGAAUGUAUGUACAUUCCCAUCCAUGUUUGUCUUCUUCUUGAAGAUCCAUUUACAACCUACUGUCUUAAGAUCAGGUGUUUGAUCAAACCAAAUUCCAAACUUGGUUAUCCAUCAUGGACUGAAUCUCAUUGUCUAUAGCCUCUUUCCAUGGAGUAGCCUCAGGGAUCGUCAUUUCUUCCUUGUAUUUAGCCGGCUCAUCUAGAUUGACCAGUGUUCUAUCACUAAUCAACGUGUCCUCAUCCACAGUUAUAUAGAAACCAUAAAACUUGGUUCGCUCGAUAACUCUAAUGGAUAUGUGAAGAGGUAAGGAAAUGUCAUUUGGUUUAAUAGUAUUUUCAACCUCUGGUUGAGAGCUAGUGCCAACUAUAGGCUUACUAUCGCAUGAUUAUUGUAAUUUCCAAAGGUCAAUUUGACUCCCACUAACUUCUUAAGAUAUAAGGUCUCUCUCAAGGAACACUAAUCUUCGAGCUACAAACACCACAUUUUCACUAGGUAUGUAACACAAAUAUCCAAAAGAAUUUUGUGGGUAAUUGACAAAAAACAUCUCUCAGAUCUGGAAUCAAGUUUUUCUUGGGUUUCAUGUAGAACGAAAACCUCAAAACCCAAAACAUUAAUGUGAUUAAGCAAAGGAACUUUCACUAUCCAUAUUUCAUGAGGUGUCUUUGAAACCUUCAAUAUUGGAAAAAGGUUUAGGAUAUGAGUAGUUGUCUCAAUUUCAUAGCCCCAAAAUGUGAUCGGUAAAGAAGCACGACUAAUCAUAGAUCAAACCAUAUAUACUAAGCUCUAAUUUCUCAUUUCAGAAACACCAUUCAGUUGUGGUGUCCUUAGAGGAGCCAAUUGUGAGACUAUUCCAUAAUUCUUAAGAUGAUCGUAGAACUUGAUACUAAGGUAUUCUCCUCCCCUAUCAAAUUAGAGAACAUUUAUCUUCAUGCCCAAUUGAUUCUAUAAUUCAUUUUGAAGCUCCUUGAAAUUUUCAAAAGUAUUUGGCUUUUGUUUAAUCAAAUAAACAUAACCGGAUCUAUUGAAAUAAUCAGUAAAUGUGACUUAGUAGUGUUCACCAUCCCUUGUGGCAGAUUUGAACGAUGCACACACACAUAUGUGCGUAUGAGAUCCAAAAAUCCAUAACCUCUUUCACAUGUCUCUAUGAAUGGUGAUUUAUUCAUCUCUCCUAACAAACAAGAUUCACAUACAUCAUCCUAUUUAAGGUCGAAUGACUCUAAGAUUCCUUCCAAUUGGAUCUUGGCGAUGUGCUUCUUAUUUAUACGGUCAAGGAGAUAAAGCUACAAGCACAAUUUGUCAAGAAAAUUAGAAGAAUUAAUAUUAAAGUUAACAUUGUCAUUAUUAGAAACAACGAUAACACUUUCAAAUAUUCCACCACAAGGGGAAGCUUUAAAUACAAAAUGUAACACCCGUUUCCCGAAGAAGGUUGGACAAGAUCUAAGGAAUAAAAAUAAGAUUUUUAAAGAAAACCCUCUGCCAUGACGUGGGGCAUGGAUGCCCACGAUGUGGCGUGAUAAUAUUUAAUGAUAUGCGUGUUUUUGAGAUACCACGACGUGGCAUAAAGUGGCCACGCCGUGGCAGCCGCUACAGCUCAAAGCCGGGAUUUUUAGGGUUUCCGUCAUAUAUAAACACCUUAAAUCUAUUUAUAAGUUACCUUUUCAGCCUCCACCUCCCCAUCUCGAAAUCCAAGACUCCAUGCAUGCUUUAGAGUCUAUUUCCUUGAUUUUGAGCCUUGUUCUUGGGGUUUUGAUAGAGCUUUGGAAGAGAGAAGUUCAAAAGGGAGCAGGGGAAUAAGAAGCAAGUUUGGAUCCAACAUUCUCUUUAGUUUUCUGAGUUGUUGAAGGUGUAAAGUUCAUGCCUUGACACCUUUUCAUCUAGAUUCAAGGUCUAGGUCAUAUUUGGGUGGUUUUUCCCUUUCUUAGAUGUUCUUGGAGUUUGAAGAACUUAAGAACUUGUGGUGGCUUUCCUAGAUCCUAGAACUUUUGUUGAUUGAUAAAAAAGACCAUACUUGAUGUAUUUCAUGUCCAUGUUUAUGUUAUAGCCUCAUUAAGGACUUAAUAGACUUUAAAUACUAGAUCUAGCUUUGGAAUGCAGCCCUAUUGGAUAAAGUUGGAAACUUUAUCCAUUUAGUAAGUGGGGAAUAGUAUUUUUGGAGGUAUGAGCUUUGAUCUAAAAGGAUUAAACUCUUAAUCAAAGUAACGACAUUUUACCAGUAAUCACGGCGUGGCAAAGGGUAGCCACGGUGUGACGAAGUAUAAAGUCAAGACUGUCUUGUUCUGGUAUUGCCAAGAAGUGGUCCUCAAGGAUAUGCAAUAAAGAGAAUGGAAAUGAUAGAAAAGAUAUGUGAGUUUUUUUUAGAUAAAAGGGCCGCAUCUUGCAAACCUUUAUUGAAAAAACAGAUAAUUUACAUAGUUUUAGAUCCUCUCUCUCUCUCUCUCUCUCUCUCUCUCUCUCUAUAUAUAUAUAUANNNNNNNNNNNNNNNNNNNNNNNNNNNNNNNNNNNNNNNNNNNNNNNNUACAUAUCUAUAUAUAUAUAUAUAUAUAUAUAUAUAUAUAUAUAUUUGGAUAAUACCCGUAAAAAAAGUACUUACCAAAGUACCAAACAUCUACAAGGUACCAAAAUAAGGAUCAAACAAAAAUUCUACAAAACAACCAACUCAAAUACAAAACAAAUCGCAAACAGAUGCUCCGUUAUAAGCCCACUAGGGACAUUAGCCCAUGUAAAGUCCUAUUUAUUACUUUUAUCUCCUUUUCGUUUCUCAGCCCAAACAACUGUCUCCCCAUUUCUUUUUUCCAUGCCCAUAAUAUCCAUUUAUCAUUCAUCAGCCAACACAAUUAAAAUCCAGCAUUCUUUCACACCAUUAGAGUCGAUUGAAAAAGAUAUAAUUCCAUUUUACAAAUUAUUUCAGCCCAAUGGAAAAAUAUAUCUUCGAUCCACCAAAAGAAAAUGGCAUGAAAAAGGUUCUCGGCCCAAAACUCAUUCUAGCCCAUAGACUCCAAAUUAAAACCUUGAGAUAAAGGUUAUCAUCUUUUGUUUCCUCUUCAUCGGUCCAGUCAUUGAUCCUUUUACUCCCAAAUCCAUCCAACACAUCACCAUAAUAUCAUAUGUUUGUGUUAAUAGCACUUUGUAUCUUAAUUUGCCACAAUGAGAACUGACUAGAAACAAGUAGAAAAUAAAGAACGAUACAAUGAUAUCCGUGAAAACCAUUGUAAGAAAAACCACAAUACACACGACAAGUUUUAUCAUAAUCGAUGAAAUGAGAAGUAGAUUAAAAGAGACGGGAAAAUUAAUUUUCUUAUGAUGAUUUGAUAGUAAACUAUAAUUACAUGUAUCGAGAAAACUAAUGGACUUCUAAUGCUUAAUUUAUAACUACCAAAUAUAAAUUUUAGAGAAUUUUUUGCUAAAAAAUAUUAGUGGGAGUCUGACAACGGCUCAAUAUAUUAAUUUUUAUUUAUUUAUUAUUAUUUUUUUUAGUGUAAAGCCAAUACAUGACUAUCAAUUCUAAUAAUAUAACUUGUCUUAUCUUAAAGAUAGAAAAAAUAAAAUGAAAAACCAAGUCACUAGUUGUCAUUACUUAUAUGAGAAAAUAUGUAUAUAUCAUUAUUGAAAAUUUUAUAGUUUUUAUUGAAGUAAUUUAAAAUCGAUUAGUAGGUCUUAUGAACUCUUCAAUUAUAAUGACAAUGUUUGACCUAAAUGAUAGCACCAAACCAGACUCCUAUGGUAUGAAUGGAAAUUGAAAACCAGUAACCAAGAAAGUCAAAGCAGUAUCUGCAGUCGUAAACAUGAACUGAUUUGAUACAUAUCAAAUUAGAGUAACAUCACCAAAACUAUGAGAUGUGGCGAAAAAGUUGAUUAGUAAGGCUUAUGAACUAUUCGAUUAUAAUGGCAACAACCAAGAAAUAACUUUAAUCAUGAUAAUGUAUUUUGAGGAUAACAGAUGCCAACUAUCUCCAUAAUAAUCGACGAGAAAGGGGAAGAAUUCGGUGAGGACAACAAAUCAAUCAUGACCUCAACUUAACAACUACAGGAGUAGCAACGAACUUUGAUGGAAAUACACCACAUUGAUUUGUAAGGAGGUUUAUGUGAAUUAUUUAUUUCACCAACAAACACCAUUGAUAUUCUUGUCAUUGGAAAUUCAGAAUACACCACAUUAAAAAAUUAUAGGAAAGGUAUUUAUGCGAGUUCACUGUUUCACCAACACCAUUGGUAUUCUUGUUAUUUUUCUUUCACUCUUCCCAUUCACAGCAGAUGCCUCCUUUGAAGGUUUGAUCUUCGCCUCUUUCCUCCUCAUUUUCUACAUUUUCUGUAUCUAAGAAUUCCGGGUUGUAAUUCGUUCCUCUUAUCUUUCAUUCUCGUUGUCUUCAUCAUCCUUAUUGGAUUAAAUUUGUCAUAUUUCGUUCGAUUAGGGAUUUAACUAGAAAAACCUAAUUUGGUUUGGGGUUUCUUAAAUAUUUUGCAGUUUUCAAAAUCAAUCAUUAUGACAAGUAGUUCAAGGAUCAAAUCCCACAAGAAAAACAAACAUAGUUCAAGGGAAUGCUCAGAUGUUGACAAGGAUGUGAAGAUGAAAGAGAUGAAUGUCAGUAACGAUGAUAAGGAGAAUGAGGUUUCAAAUAAGGUUUCCAAAGAUUCUUUAGUUUCAGGAGGAAAAGGGAAACUUGGUAAGGAUCUGUCCGGUGUUCAUAGGAAUGGUAAUCUGCUUGAGGAGUAUGCGUUGCCUACAAAGCGGCGGAAAGAAAAGACUAACGGCAAGGAGGAGAAAUUUGAUGUUGCAAACUUAGAUGAUAAGAAGUCGAAUUCGAAGUUGAAGGAGUUCUUAAAAGUUGUUGGUGAAUCAAAAAAACAAUAGUAACAGAAAGCAUGAUGUUUAUAGUGCAAAUGUUGAUGAAAGUAAGAGUAGCAGUCAGUCUAAUGAUGAUAAAGAACCAAAGGAUAAGGAUCGUGGGUCAGAAAAGGAAAGGAAAAUAUUGGUAUAUCACAAUCAACUAUGUAGUUCUUGAUAUGGUUGCUAAUUACGGGGUGUUUGAAAAAAAAAACUUAUUGCUUAUUAGCUUAUUAGCUUAUAAGUUAAUAAGUAAUUGUAGGGUAAUUUAUGAAAAAAUGACUUAUUGAGGUUCCCUACUGGAAUAAUUUAUUUUCAUCCAAACACUUUUUAACUUAUAGUGGUGUGGAACCUAAUAAGUUGUUUUAAAAGGUUUAGCUAAACACUCCCUUAGUAAACUAGUUGACAAGGUAGAACUAUGUAUAUAAUUACAUUAUCUCUUCUUCCAGAGUGGCCUAUAGAAGGAGUGAGAAACAUUGAGUUAGAAAAGGAGCUUGAAAAGAGGAUGAGGAGAAGAGGAGAAGACUACAAGAACAAGGAUAGAUAUCAUGAUGAUGUAAAAGAAAAUAAUGAGAUAUUAAUGUCUACUAAAAGUAGUCGCGUGAAAGAUAUUAAACACAAAUAUAAAGGACAUAGUACAGAGAAACUAGACACAUGGAAGAUAAAAGUAGGGAAAAUGGCGAGAGGGUUAGCAAGAGUAGAGAAGAUGAUUAGUACAAAGGAGAAAGGGAGAAAGACAAUAAACACAAAGAUGAUAAGUACCAUGAAGAUAGUAGAAAGGAUAAUAAGUAUCAUGCUAAUAGAGAUGAGAAACAGAGAGAUAAGAAGUAUAAAGAAAGUGGUGGUAGGGUUCAAAGGAAUAGGGACAACAAGUAUAGAGAAAAAAGAACAAGUGAUCCCAAACACACAGAUGUAGACACAUGGUCCGUUAACACAAACCAUCAGAAGUUGUUUUGUAUUCUCUUGAGCUCUUAUAAUACAAGUUCUCUUUCAUUUGUAAUAACUUUGAAACAUUAGUCUCUUGCUUACCAGUUCGUUAGUACAUCUCAAGGAAGCAUAGUAAGCAUGAAUUAGUCGAAGAAACACUAAGUGGAACACAUUGAUCAAGUCGUCCUAUAACAUUAGACCCUAGUGCUUAGCAAUGAACUGUAGGUUCCAACAAUUGAAUUUGCAUAUAUAAAAAAGUAAAGUUUGUAUAUGCCAAAUGUUAUUUCGGAAACGAAAACAACCAAAAUGAAAAGAAAAAAAAAUGAAAAACUAAAUAUUUGGUAAUAACAUAAAAAACAAGGGUAAAUCCGAAAAACUGCAAAAUCAAAUAAUAUUACAAUUAUAUUUUCAAAAACGAGAUCAAAGUUUAAUGGUUUGUAUGAAAAUUUAGGGUUUUAUAAAUGUCAUACCAUCACCAAUGGCAAAUAUAACCUCUUAAUAAGAUAUAGCAAGUCCAUUAUUUUUCUUUGAAAAGACAAUAGUUUUUCAAUAAAGAUAAAAUAACAUAACGAUUUUCUGGUAAAUGACAAAAAGAAAAUAGCAACUUUUUGUAAUUUUCCCUAGAAACAAUUAUCAAACAUAGUGAAGAUCAAUAAUUAUGCAAUCGACAUCUUUUCCCCUCAAACAAAAAUACUAUUUUUCAAUUUACACUACAUUUACUAUAUGACUAAAAAUGGGGCUGCUCUAUUUCCCUAUCAAACCUACAAAAUAAAAAAUAAUAUCGACAAAUUGUACUAAAAAAUUAAAGAAUGUAUUGGGUGCAUCUAUUAAACAUGUGUGUCAACUGAUUUAAACAUCUUGCAUAAGACGAUCUAUAUAUGUCUUAGCUCAUUCAUGAUAUAUGUCUCAUAAUUAACCCGAAUAAUCAAUUGGCAAAGGUUUGUUAUAUACGGUUUCAAUGGGGGCUUGUAAGAAAAUGACCAAAGUGGUUUCCUUAUAAUCUUCAACAUCUUGAGCUAACUUGGAAAGCGCGGGAGGGAUAGUCAUAUCAAUCUCCGAGAUGCUCUCGACACAGUCUCUCAAUGUAAUUUCUCCUGUACGCAAGUAAUAUUCAAUCGCGUCUUUAUUAUCCUCAUCAACUGCUUCUAUCAGACCGGUUAAGUAACUGGCAACAUCAGUUACCUUCUGUUGACACGUCUUCAAGAUCUUUGCUCUUGAUGGAGAAUUGGUGUUGCGGAUCACGGAGGUGACCAUAGGCAGGAGGUGUACGGAAUUUCUUUUGUUGAGAACAAGAGUUGCUCGAAACGCGUUUUUCAAUGCUUGGUGAUAAUUUGUUGCAUUGUGCACUAAUCUAUUGCAUAGAGGCUUCAAUCUUGCAAAUUCACAAAAUUUACUAUUUGGAGUUGUUGCAUGGCUCAUCACCACCAUCAUGGCAAUCGUUGUUGCCAUAAUGUAAAUGUAUUUACCCAUUUUGGUCAAAAUUUAGAGAAUCAACGUCUAAUCUAAUGAAAAGGAUGAAUCAAGAUGAAGAAAUUAAACUAACAUAUUUUUCUUCUUCCUUGUUUCAAUCAAUCCCGAAAUAGUUUCCCUUACAUUCCAUAUAAAUAAAUUAUGUAACAAUUAACGUCCGUUAAUUUCAUCCCAUAAUUUCUCUCAUUACCACUAAUUCCAUGGCUUAAUUCAUGGUUCUCGUUAAUUGUACAUGUUAUUCAAAAGAUGAUUCAUGUUAACAGGGGACAAAUUUCAGCCACAAAUUUCAAUCCUUGGAAAUUUAGGGAUUUAUUAAAACAAAUUGUUAUUUAUAGUUUUUUUAAUUAAUUUAUUAUUAUUUUAUAAUUUAUUCUUAAACCAUGGAUUUGUUUUGUGGUUAUGAUGAUUUUAUCUUAUACUUUUCUUAUGCUUUAUGAAUCGCUAUGUACGGUAUUAAAAUCUCAAGUAAAGGUUUUAGAAGAUGGUAAGUUCGAAGAUUUAUAACGAGACUAUGGAUCUGUUUCUUUCAAAGAUGCCUGUUCGAAUUUUGGUUUAUUUCCUCAAAUUUGGUCAAAACUUAUUUGUUUUCCUUACAUUUCUUUAUUUACAUAUUACUUAUGUUUGAUAUCUAGGUUUUGUUUUAUUAACAACCUUCUGUGAUACUAAAUCAUUUUUUGAUCUCUAAUAAAGUCAUUUGUUUUUUUUUUCAAAAGUUGGUUUCUAUAGUUUAUUAUUAUUAUUUGAAGUUGUUAUUACGGUAUUAAAGAAAUACUCAAUUAUUAUCUUUAAUAAAAAUUAAAAAUGGUAAUUUGAUAUAAAAAAAUAGAUAUAUUAUAUUGAAGAGAUUGAACGUAGAAAAAAAGUAUAUUUUUAUAAUGUUAUUUUUAAUUAGUAACACCCGUGUUGUUCAGGUUUGAUUAACUAAAGACUUUAGGGGUUUUGAGAAUAAGAUUUUAGAAAAAAUCUACACUCGCAAUGAGUCGGGGGUGCCACGGCACGACCAUAUGUUUUAAUGGUGGCACAAUUUAUGUCUCUCCGUGGAGUGGUGACCGCCUCAACCCAAAACACCACGUCUCGGGACUUGGGUCCUAUUUAAAUACAAAGGAGUUAUCGUUUUAUUAUUGGAUAAUCAUAUUAGAUAUUAGAUAAUUACUAGUUUGUUUUAUUUGAAUUCCAGUUGUACUUCAGUUGUCUAUUGGGAUUAUAUAUAUCCCCUCUUAGUCUAAUACCGAUCAAUCAAUUUUUCCUUUGAAUUACUGUUCUUUCUUUUAGUUCUUUAUGGUAUUAGAGCCAGGUUAUUGCAUCCUAUUAAGCAAUGACAGGAGACACUCCAGCGGGUGCCUUCGGUACCAACACCAACCCGUCAUCAGAUCCAAACUUACAUCCAUCCCACUGAUUAUCCACGACAAGUACACGUCAAUGAAAACCUUGGUGACAACAAUUAUGCUGACUGGUCCAUGGAGAUGAAAGAUUUUCUCCUAGCAAAGAACAGGGCUGGUUUCAUUGAUGGAACCAUUGAAAAGCCGACUAAAGGAAUGAAUGAGUACAGAACCUGGCAACGAAGUGACGCCUUGAUAAAGGGAUGGCUUACUACAGCCAUGGAGAAAGAUAUCCGGAACAGUGUAAAAUACGCUACCACCGCCAAGGAGAUUUGGGAUGAUCUAGAAGAAAGAUUUGAAAAGGAACGUGCACCACGUGUUUAUGAACUGAAACGUGCCCUAACAAUCCUCAGGCAAGGAUCUGAUUCUGUUUCAACCUACUUCACGAAGAUGAGGACAAUCUGGGAUGAAAUUCUCUCUGUUUCACCGACACCAACUUGCACCUGUGGCAAAUGCACCUGCGACAUUGGAAAAAGGCUCGUUGAAUCAAGAGACAAAGAACGUGUCUAUGAGUUCUUAAUGGGUCUUGAGGACACUUUUGGAACCGUGAAAACUCAGAUCCUUAGCACUAAACCUAUGCCCUCACUUGGAGCUACUUACCACUUGGUUUCAGAAGAUGAACAACAGCGAAAUAUCUCAGCUGCCAGAAAACCCAAUGUAGAUGCAUCAGUUUAUCAGAUGCGUGCUCAAAUCACUACCGACAAGAACCCCGUUGAGAAAAGGAAUACUAACCAUGAAGGCAUGAAGUGCAAGCAUUGCGGAAAGAAUGGACACAAUAUUGAAGGAUGUUUCGAAAAGAUUGGUUAUCCGGAGUGCUGGGACACUCGACACAAGACUACUACUGAUCAAAAAAGGACCAAUCGCCCAAAACCAAAGGUAGCCAACGUCGAUAUAGAGACCAGCCCUAUACCUGGUCUUAGUCUGGAGCAAUACACGAAGUUGAUGAAGCAAUUAAAUGAUGUACAAAAACCAGAGGUCAACAUGGCAGGUAAGGUUGAAUUUCAGUUACCUUGGGUGAUUGAUUCAGGGGCAACUGAACAUGUGGCGUGUCAAAAAUCCACUCUCACUAACUUAAUACAUCCACAAGAUGGUGUUCCAGUUAGCAUUCCUAAUGGAGAUAAAAUUCCUGUUAAAGGAAUAGGAGAUGCCCGAUUGCCUAACAACAUGAAGUUGAAUGAUGUUUUAUACAUUCCUAAUUUUAAAUGCAACUUGUUAUCCGUUAGCAAAGUUACCAAAGAUUUUAAUUGCUUCAUGACUUUUUUUUUCGGAUUUCUGUUUCAUUCAGGACUUACACUCGAGGAAGCUGAUUGGCAUGGGGAAAUGUGAAAAUGGUCUUUACAACAUGGAAGGAAACGAUAAAAGGGAGGCAGUCAAGAUUGACUCAGAAAUAUGGCACAGAAGAUUAGGACAUGCAUCUAGCACUAAACUUCAACAUAUUCACUCAAUAGGUAGUACUGUUAGCAUUGAGAAUUGUGAUUCUUGUACUCGUGCAAAACAAACUCGGCUUCCUUUUCCUGAUAGUUCAAUAAAAACUAGUUCUUGUUUUGAUUUAAUCCAUUGUGACAUAUGGGGUGGAUAUCGAGUCCCUUCUCUAUCAGGAGCUUAUUACUUUCUCACAAUAGUUAAUGAUUUUAGUAGACCAACAUGGGUAUAUUUGAUUAAAAACAAAUCUGAUGCAAGUACUAGUUUAAUAGCCUUUCACAAUAUGGUUAAUACACAAUUUGGGAAAAAGAUUAAGAAAAUCAGAAGUGACAAUGGUGGUGAGUUUGUUUCAAAUCACAUGUUGAAAUUUUAUGAAGAAAAUGGGAUUUUGCUUGAAACUUCAUGUGUUCACACCCCACAACAAAACGGGGUGGUUGAAAGGAAACACAGGCAUUUACUUGAAAUAGCUAGAGCAUUAAGGUUUCAAGCCAAUCUCCCAAUAAAGUUCUGGGGUGAAUGCAUAAUGAAUGCUACUUACAUUGUAAACAGGUUGCCCUCAAGAGCCAUUGGAAAUAAAACCCCAUAUGAAAUUCUUCUUGGGCAUAAACCACACUAUGAACACAUGCGUGUUUUUGGGUGUUUGGUAUAUAUCAAAGAAAAUAAAGCGGGAAAGGAUAAAUUCGAAGAAAGGGGGAGACCUUGUGUGUUCCUUGGAUACCCACAAGGACAAAAAGGUUAUCGACUUUUUGAUUUGAAUGACAAAAAGAUUGUUGUUUCUAGAGAUGUUAGGUUUGUUGAAUGUCACUUUCCUUUCCAAAAGGACGAAUCUGAUCAGAUUACAAAGCAGACUUCACAGUCAUCAAAUAACCAACUUGAUUAUAUUCUUGAUGAGCCACAAUACAUCGAGCAGCAACAGCCCAAUUCCGAGGAGCCUGUCGUGCCCACAGCAGACCAGCCAAGGCCACAAAACUCAGAUUAUGAGCAGCCCAAUUACAACAAACUCGACAUUCUGAGAGAACUCGAACUCAACCGAAAAAGUAUAAUGAUUUUGAAGUUGACUUUCCAUCCUCCAUUGACCAUUCUCUCCCCAAGACCAAUACAACAACCUCGACGGUACACCCUUUAUCUAAUUUUGUUUCUUAUAAAUUUUUUUCUAAUGCUCAUAAAACCUUCUUGGCUACCAUAUCUGUCCAAAACGAGCCUAAAUAUUUUUCGCAGGCAGUUAAGUAUCCCCAAUGGAGAGAUGCUAUGCAGAAAGAGAUUUCGGCACUUGAAAGUAAUAACACUUGGACAUUGACCAAACUACCCUCGGGAAAGAAGGUUGUUGAUUCCAAGUGGGUGUACAAAAUUAAAUACAAACCAUCAGGAGAAGUUGAACGGUACAAAGCCAGACUGGUUGCAAAGGGGUUUACACAAGUUGAAGGCGUUGAUUUUCACGAGACUUUUGCACUGGUUGCUAAGUUAGUAACUGUUAGAACAAUCCUAGUUGUUGCUGUGCAAAAGAAUUGGUUAAUCCAUCAGUUAGACGUUAACAACGCUUUCUUACAUGGAGACCUUACUGAAGAAGUUGAUAUGAAGAUCCCACAAGGGUUUGCGAAAGAAGGAUAUUCUCGUGUGUGUCGUCUAAAUAAAUCUUUGUAUGGUCUCAAACAAGCAUCACGCAACUGGUACAAGAAAUUCACUGGUGCGCUUCUCAACAUUGGCUUUCAACAUUUUCGAGCAGAUCACUCUUUAUUUCUCUUUAGAACCAAAACUGUUUAUGUUGCGGCUCUCAUUUAUGUUGACGACAUCAUACUCCUUGGGAAUGAUGUUGAUCAAAUUGAGAAGGUCAAAACCUACCUUGAUGGAAAAUUUAGCAUCAAGGAUCUUGGACCUUUAAAAUAUUUUAUUGGUAUCGAAGUGGCACGUACUUCUGAUGGCAUGGUCCUUAGUCAGAGAAAAUAUGCUAUGGACAUUUUAGCUGGUAGUCGACAUCAAGGAUGUCGUCCAAGUUCGUUCCCAAUGGAGUCAAAUGCUCGGUUCGAUGAUGCAGUUGACUCACUGGUUGUGGAUGCUGGCCAAUAUUGACGACUCAUUGGACGACUCUUAUAUUUACAGGUGACACGACCUGAUAUUGCUUUUGCUGUUAAUUGUCUUAGUCAAUUUGUUUCCUCUCCUCGACAGACUCACUUAGAUGCAGCCCACCGUGUUUUGCGUUAUCUGAAAUCGACUCUUGGUCAAGGCAUUUUCUUUCCAUCUAAAGGAUAUCUUUCUUUGACUGCCUUUUGUGAUUCAGACUGGCUUGGUUGUCCACUUACUCGAAGAUCCAAGAUUGGUUAUUUCAUAACUUUAGGAGGAGCUCCAAUCUCUUGGAAGACGAAAAAGCAGUCUGUUGUUUCUUGCUCUUCUGCAGAAGCUGAAUAUCGAAUUAUGGCGACUACCGUUAGUGAACUUCUAUGGUUGCGUUGGUUGUUGCGUGAUCUUGAGGCACCUCAAUCUGGUCCGACGCCUCUUUAUUGUGAUAAUCAAGCUACUCGUCACAAUGCUAAUAAUCCCGUCUUUCACGAACGAACUAAGCAUGUCGAAAUGGAUUGUUAUUUCGUUCGUGAAAGAGUCGAGCAUGGUGACAUUCAACCGCUUCCCAUUACCACUGUUAAUCAGAUUGCAGAUAUUUUUACCAAACCGCUUGGAGUGGACCGUUUUCGUUUCUUACUUGGCAAGAUGGGCGUUCGUAAUCUUCAUGAUCCAUCUUGAGGGGGAGUAAAGGAGUUAUCGUUUUAUUAUUGGAUAAUCAUAUUAGAUAUUAGAUAAUUACUAGUUUGUUUUAUUUGAAUUCCAGUUGUACUCCAGUUGUCUAUUGGGAUUAUAUAUAUCCCCUCUUAGUCUAAUACCGAUCAAUCAAUUUUUCCAUUGAAUUAGUGUUCUUUCUUUUAGUUCUUUAGUAGUCACUACCAUCGUUACUAUUAAAUACAAAUAAGAAAAUAUAGAGAUGCCUUAUCAUUUUGUUUGCAAAUAAUCCAACUUCUUCUCUUAAUAACAACGACACCAUCAACCACAAACCACCAAAAUAUUUAAGAAUUAUUUUUAUGAGAUUAUGACAUCGUUUUUUUUUAUCGUUUUUCACCUGAAGUCAAAGAAACUGAUUUUAAACCUCAAAUUUAUGUGAAAACUUUAAGCUUUAAUAAUAAUUUGAUCAACUAGAUCCAUUUCACAUAAAAGGAUUAACCAAAGAUAAAGAUUUUUGGGUCGAUAUACAUCUGAUAAAAAAGAAACGUAAUUAUUUUUAGGUCGAUAUGCAUCUGGAAAAUGAAGAACAUAAAGACGUAAUAUGACAUGAGUCUUUUGAGAAAUGUUUGUUGUCAUAUAUUUUUAUUAGUUGUAGAGCAUACAUCCAAAAUAGAAAGCAAAGCCAACAUAAAAUCAUUCGUCAUAAGUACAAGUAUUAGGAGAAAAAGUUAAUAAAGUAAGUUUUUUUUAUGAUUUACUGAAAACUGUAGAAAAUAAAAAUAACAUGUUGAAUAAGGAAAAUAAAAUAAAUGUUUCAUGUCUACUUAAGAAAACAUGCAUAAGGAGAAUUUGCAGAUUGCUUGCUUCUACUAUAAUUGAUAGACAACCCAAUUCUCUAUGGCCUUUAUGUUUUUCUAUUACUUUCAACUGAUAAAUUAUAUUAACAUGUACAACUUUUUAAUUUCUUCUAACCGUAAGCAAUGAAUGUGCACAUUCCCAUGAGCUCAAAAGAAUUGAUAUGGGUAGGUGAUUCUUGAUUUUCUAAAUUUAAGAACUUCAUAAAAUAUCAAAAAUUAAUAUUUUUUUUCAUAGAAAAACGGCAUUUGAUUUCUUAUAUUCUCUUGGAGUCAUCCAUUUAUGCAUACAAUUCAAGAGAAUUUCCUUAAAAGUGCAAUUGGUUUAGAAACAUAAUAAAUCAAGGCAAUCUUUACAACUCAGAACGCUUCUAUUUGGGUUCUUCUUAGUUAAAAAAUAACUUAAUUAAGCAUAUGCUUAAACCCCAAGGAGAAAAAAGAAAAUAAUAUAUUUUAAUAAAAAUAAAGGGGUGUUUGGAUUAGAUUUUUAGCUUAUUGCUUAUAGUUUAUUUGUGGUGGGAAUAAGCAAUAAGCAAUAAGCAUGAGGAGGGAUGCUUAUUAAAAUUAGCUUAUUUAACUUAAUAAACUGAAUUUUAUCCAAACACUCAAAUUAGCUUAUUGUGGGAAUAAGCAAUAAACACUCUUUUUUUUCCUAUCCAAACACCCCCUAAAUAUGCAACGGACUACGCACAAUAUAAAUUUUGCUUCAUUCCAACAACUUUAAUUGCAUAAAAAUACACCAAAGUUCAAACAUUGCGCUAAAACAUCAUAAACAACCAAAGUAGGCUGCUAUAAAUAUCAACAAGAAAAGAGAGAACGUUGUCACACCCUCGGACGAAGGCGGAAACGUUGGUUGUGCAACGUCUUGUUGAUCAUAGUCAUUGAACAUACAUUGAACAGUACAAAGGUAUAACAUAAUGUAACACCGGAUUCCUGGUAUGUAUUUUAUUUAAGAAUUUUAUGUAUUUUCUCUGGGACUCGACGAGCUGAUGGCCCAACUCGUCGAGUAGAUACGGGAUCCGCGGGAAGUUUAAGUGACCCACUCGACAAGUCGGGGACUGACUCGGCGAGUAGGUGUUGUUUGGACAAAACCCUAAAUAUGAGGGAUUGCACCCUAUUUAAACGUCUUUAUAGCCCCAAACCAUCCCCCAUCACCCCCAGGACGUUCCUUCCAAAACCCUAGUCUCCCCAUAAGUGUUCUUGAGUGUUUCUCACCUUUUUGAAGGAUUUUUGGUGCAUCUAGAAGCUAGAAGAAGAAGAGAGAAGUUGAAGAUUCGAGGGGGGAAAAGUAGAUCUAGAAGCCAUCUUCCUUUUUGCACCUUUUCUAGUAAUCAGGUUCUCAACUUGACCCUUUUAUGUGUUAGAUCUUAAAAGUCCCCAAAUUGAUGGUUUUGAGCUCAAAAACCAUGAAUCCUUAGGGAUGAAGCAGUUUUAUCGAUUCAUAUCUCAGAUCUAGGUCUUAGAAUCGAAUGUAUGGCAUAAAGAUGUAAGCUUUAUGGCCAUGAUAGGUCAUGCACCCCUUUAGACUCCAUUUUUGGGUCCAUUAAGCUUAUACUCCCAUGCAUGCACGUAAAGUUCGUAACUUUACGUGCUAGAUCGAUUUUAAAAGAUCAGAUCUAUCUUUUGGAUGAGUGUUGUACAUCAGAAAUCGAGAAAAUAAGACUUGGAUAACAUCGAAUCGACAAGUGUUCUUUGAACUCAGCGAGUCCGAGGCUUGAGUCCUCAUUCUGUUAUGGUUCCAAAGGAACCCAGUUGAGUGUUAGCAGAAGAUUAGAAAAGUCCCAAGGAGUGUUGUGACGUUUUGAGAAGAGCCAUGAUCUAGAAAUCAUAGGACUCGGCGAAUGUAUGAACAGACUCGGUGAGUCCAAGGCGAUCUCCCAACUUUUGAAGAUGAACUCGACGAGUUGUUCAUACAACUCGGUGAGUCACAGACUGGACAUGUUCAUAGGAUGAAGGUGAACUCGACGAGUUGUUCAUAUAACUCGGCGAUUCAGAUGAAGGUUCAUCCGAUGGUAUUAUAGAAGGAGAACUCGUCGAGUCGUUGCUAAACUCGACGAGUAGAGUCGGGAAGGGUCAAAAGAAAGGAAAGGGACUCGAUGAGUUGGCGGCCCAACUCGUCGAGUCAAGUCAACUGGAAGUUGACUUCGACCAAGGCUUUGACUUUAACCACGGGUAAAUUAGUCCCUGUACCCAAAGAUUAGUUAGUAGUGUUUGACUAAGUGUCUGUAUGGGAAUUGUAGCCGAGGAGUUGUCGGAGCACCAGUCAGACAUUUCCCGGUCAGCAUUUCAGCAGUCAACCUUACGAGGCGAGUUACCUUCCAGUAGCGAUGGGUCUACGGCCACAAUGCCGGCCCACCAGUAGGAAUUGUAUGUUAGAUGUCUGUCUUUGUGAUAUUCAUCUAGGUUUGCUACUACUUGAUAUGUUUUAUGUGCUAGCAUGAUAUGUUAUAUGUGAUAGUGGUAGUAGGGGGAAAAUAGCCCCCAAGUUCGGUCGUUAGGACCGAAGGGUAGGUCGGGCGCUCCAGAAUUGUCUGACAAUAUGUUUAUGCUAUGAUAUUAUGUAGUAGUAGUAGGAGGUGAAAUAGUCCUCGUAUGUCAGUCGUAAGGACCGACGGGUAAGUCAAGCACCCCAGAAUGGCUUGACCUAGGAAUUCAGGCACCUAAAAAUUGCCUGGAAGUAUAUGUGUCUUAUAUGGUAGUGGUAGGGGUGAAAUAGUCCCCGGUAGUCGGGCGAAAUAGACCGGCGGGUAAGUCAAGCACCCCAGAAUAGCUUGACCUGGGUAAGUCAAGCACCCUAGAAUGGAUUGACCAGGGUAAGUCAAGCACCCCAUAAUGGCUUGACCUGGGUAGUUAGGCACCCUAGAAUUGUCUGACAGUAUGUUAUUGUAUGGUGUGUGGUAUGAUUGGGGAACUCACUAAGCUUCGUGCUUAGAGUCUUCAGUUUUGUUUUAGGUACCCCUUCAGCGAAGGGGAAGGAGCCGACACGGUAGCGGCACAUCACACAUACACGCAUGAUUUCCGCAUUACAAGUUUUUCUUGGGAUUGUACUUUGAUUUUUCUUUAUCACUAUUGAUGAUAUGGUUUGAAACACGUUGUUACAGUUUUAUAAAGUGAAUUGACAUUGGUAAUGUUUUGGUAAACUAUUUUAUGUGUUACUUAAUUAAAAAUGAAAUUUUUACCCUUGAAAAAUUGGGAUGUUACACAUAAACAGUGGUAGUAUUAUUUCUGAAAAACGAUUAUAAUAAUAUUCAAAGUUUCCAAUAGUCUAAGCUUCAAACAUCAGGCUACAAACUACAAUAAUGUUCUAUGGGAUAUAUCUGAUGGGUUUUGGUCAUAAGACAUCCUAUGUGCUCAUACAAACCCUAAAGCUCGGAUCUAGGUUUCUCUAUUGUACAUACUUUGAAUCCAAGACUUGAACCCUAAUUCUAGCAUAUGGAAAUCAGAAUUCACAUGUAAAUAGGUUUAAGAACAUACCUUGAUUGUUAUAUAGCAAUAACAAUCCAAUUCCUCCUUGAAUUGACCUUGGAAAGCAAAGAGUCACAAGUGUCACUCCUCUAAUGGCUUACAAACACCAUAAGCAAGUGGAGAAGGUAUAAGGAGAGAGGAGGGAGGUUAGAAUUCGUAUUUGGGACCUCUUGGGAAGGGAUACCCGAAUUCAUAACCCUUGGGGUUGUUUAUAUAGGUGUAGAGAUAGGGUUUCAGUCAUUAUCCUUAUCUAGUUGAUUAUCCAUUAAGCAACCAAUAAGAUAAUCCUUGAAUCCUUAUCAUACUCGAAUUCUAAGGCUUUCCAACCUUAAAUUCGUUCACCACACUUAUAAGAUAAUCCUUACCUUAUUUUGUAACUAUCACAUAAUUACAAUUCAGCCCCUCAAGUUUAAUUAAUUACACUUGAUCACAAAAUUAAUUCUCAAUUAAUUAUUGACCAAUAUUAAUUAAACAAAUAUGAUUUCUCCUUUAAUAUAUUAUUCUUAUAACAUAUUAAUAAAUCAUAUUAUCCUCUCUCUCUAUAUAUUUCUCCAAUCAAGUUGCUUUGGUGAAGGCAACCCAAAAGGACCAUGCACCAUCGGGUCAAGUACAUACCAAAAUAGUUAUGGACUUAGACACUAAUCCAACAGUCUCCCACUUGGAUAAGUCUAAUAACUAUUCUGCGUAUGACUUCAGAUCCCGAUCUGCAAUCGUAGCUUUCCAAAGCCGCUGUCAACUCUGAUCAUAUCAAAUACGCGUGUCCUUAGAUAAGGGAUCAUAUAUUCCUCCAUUCUAGAUAUCAUAUGAGAUAUGAUUUCAAAUCAUUCUCUUUGUACUAUAUCUCGAUUUCCGAUUUAUGACGACUGACUAAUUGAACAAAUCAAAUUAGCCCUAGCCCGGCCGAGCAUUUACGUUUGUCAUCACUAAACCAUCGAGGGGCCCAAAGAUAUCGCUUUUAUCCUACUUUGGAUAAAAGGAACGGAUAAACUUUGAUACAAUGCUUGCUUGCACUCACGCACCGAAUCACACACAACAAUAUGUUUUAUAACACCAAGUUACUAGUGCGUUUACAUAUUAUCAAUGUGCAACCGAUUUGCAAGAUACAACUCACACAUCUCGGUUUCAAGAAUAUAAGAUGUUAUCGUCUCACCAAUCACUCGUGAUACAAUUCAUGGAGUGAUCCAAGUGAGCGUGGGUUUAAUCCAAUGCUCAAAUCAUAUUCAUAAGCACUCAUGAACGUUGCAGCAAACAUUUGCUUAUGUCUAAUACUCUUUUAGACAAUCCACACACCAAUUCACGACAGUCUUCAUUCAUAUCUACUUCCAACAUAUGAACGACUGUGGCCCGUUUGAAUAAUUCGAUUAUUCUUAAUAAACUCAAUUAUUCUGGAAGUCAAAACAUGCAAAUGUGAAACACAAGAAUAAUACUAAUCCCAUAUGGCCUCAAACCUUUGAGUAUAAAUAAAACACCUUUUAUUUAUCACCAUAUUGAUUACUCAUUAUUUGUCGUUUCGGGUAAUCAACUUCUUACUUGAAUUACAACACUUGUCCCAUGCUCCUAGCAUGCACACAAUGUUUACCUAUGGUUCUUACUUUGUGAAAUAGAUCACAUUGAACACAUUUCCAAUCAUUCUCAUUUCACAACUCCAAAUCCUUUUUCUAAGUGAAAGAAUAUCAAAUUCUUGCUACUUAUAGAAUAUGCUAGAUUCUAACAUUCUAUGCAACUUAUCCUUUCGUAAUGUCACUGCACCAAAGUCACAAAGACUAUUGCCAAUGAUAUUACAAAGUCCUCUAUCGGAGAUUGUUACAAGACAAUUCCAUAGACGUGAUGUCUCUCACUCAAAGUACAUUCUUUGAACAUCCUUUUGCAUAGAAGUUUCUAAUCUAGUCAUAGAUUUCUCAAUAUUCAAUUCCCAAUAUGGACACACUUCCAUAUGUUCCAUAUGACAACUCAUUCUUAAUAGAAUCUUAUCUAUUCGUAAUGAUGUCGAUAUGGUCCAUCCAAUAUGGAAACAUUUCCAUAUUUUCCAAUACUAUACUUCCAACUACUCACAAGCGACCAAUCCUCGUCGAACUUUGGAUUGUCCUUUGAUAGUUGUUUAAUUGUUUUAGUCAAAACCAAUUCUAGUCCCUUUUCCCUCUAAAUGCGCUCGACAUUUGGAAAAUUUUAGAAUGGUCAAACAUUAAAGCAUUUGCAAUCGAUCCUAUACCCGAAGCGUAUGGGACACGACGCAUAAUGUUUUAUUUGCUAUGUUCUCAAAAUUCGAAUUGUGAAGAGGGAUGCCGUAAUCAUAAUCGAAAUUUUAAGAACACACUUUGUACCUUUGACUAAAUUUUAUUAACAUUUCUCAACCUAAACCUUUAGAUUUGAAAUGAAGCAUAAUAUUCUCUCCCUUAAUUAUAGCAAAACAACUCUUCAACUAUUGCGACUUUGCAAAGUAUGACUCUUGUUUUCUAUAAUUAAUAUUGCUAACCUUGCAAUACUUUCCUUAAUAAUCAUACAAUCAUAACUUUUAUGCUCCCACUAUCUUGAUGAUUAUUAUAAAACAUAACACUUAUGCUCCCACUAGCUUCGACAUGUAUUCAUAAACAUCUUAACUUUCAGAAAAAAAAUGCUUAUUGAAUUUCUUAAGUUCAUGUUUCUAAUACUUAGUGCUUUGAUAAUCUUUUAUCAAGGCUUCUUGAACUUAUACACCUUUGCCUUCGAUAGUUCAUAUGUGUGUCUAAACAAUUAAGACUAAUUGCCAAACCUCACAAUUCAAAUUAUGGAAAGGGAUGCCGUAACCAUAAUUGAAUUCGAGAAUGCAAUUUUACAAUCACUAUCUUCUUAAAAUCUGUCUUAGUGAAAGCAUUUCCUCACAAUCAUUUUCAUGAAGGAGGAAAUCUUAUGACACUUAGAUUUAAACGGUGUAUUUGUUCCUAUCCAUGUGAAUUUGUCAAAACCAAAGUUUACGACAAAUUCAAACUCUUAUGGAUCGAACUUUCUUGAUCUCGAUUUCUUGCCUUUAUGGUAGCACAGCUGCCCACCAUGUCUUCCAAGUAGUUAAGCAGCUCACCCUUUCCUAUCAAUGUACCUUUCAUUGAUUAAGGUGCUUUGCCUUUUAUGCGUUCAAAAUGAGAACUCAUAGAACUCACAUGCAUAAUUAACUCGAUUGGAUUGGCACAGAAUCAAAAUAAUGUCAACACGAUAGGUUGUAAACCUCAACUCGUGUGCUAGUGAUGAUCGAUAAGGUUUAUUUGAUUUGUUCUUGAAACCUUUCAAGACCAUUAAGACUCCCACUGACUCCUUGACAUAUAAGAUUCUCUUGUCAAAAAACAUUUCUUGACAAACAAAUAUUCAAGAGUUAGUGUAGCUUUUAUCAAAACACUUCAUAAAUUGGUCCUAGUUGGUCUUUGUCUUAUCCAAGACAUCACAACUUUCCACAUUUAAUGAAAGUUACAAACCUUCUUAAUACCUUUCACUCAAUGUCACAAUCUUAACUUUAAGACUUGUUAUUGGAACGAAGUAUGAUUGACUUAUUGAUUUAACCAUUUCUUCAAUUCUUGAUUCCUCUUCUUAGACAUACAAUUGUACUAAGACUCACUUAGAGGAUCAAUUGAGAUAUGGUUCUUAAUCAUUAAGACCUAUCAUAAAGCAUAAAAGGUACUCUCCCUUCUUCUUAGAAUGGAGAAACUUUUAUCUUUCUGCCUACUUGAUUCUUCUUAUUCGUUCUGCUAUUGAUUUAAACCUUUUCAAUCAAUUCAGAAUUACACUUAAUCUUAUAAGUAUAAUCAUAUUUACUAAACCUUUAGUAAAUCAUGACGAAUAUCUUUGUUACUCUUAUGGUGGACUUGAUCAACACGCAACUUUGUGUACUCGAUCUCCUAGUCCUUCACUUGACACUUUGUCAAUGAAUUAGUCUAAUUUCCAAAUAUGAAAUUUCUCAUUCAUCGUGCAACCAAGUUGCAUGAUUCCAAGUUUCUGUCCAAUUGAAACUUGGGCGAUGAGAAACUCUCCCUAUUUGGUAAAUUCUCGACUUUCCAUAAAUAACAUAAUAAGAACCAAAUCCAUUAUUGCUAAUAAUAGAAACAUUUUAACAUCAAUUUUUCAUACACGCCAUUGUAAGGAUAAAUAAAUAAAAUUUAAAAUCAAAAUUUAUUUUAUUGCGGAAAAAUUUGUCCUUACAAUGCAACUCAUUGAAAAACUUAUGCUAAUACAUCUUUCUUAGCAAUCUAAUUCUAACUCUAAGUAGUAGCUCAAGAAUCUAAUCUUCGAGAAAUGCGAUCGAAAUCCAUUCCUUCACGGUUAGAUUCUGCUCACUUCUUCCCUUAAGCUUCCUUUCUUUUCUUCGAUCCUACAAAACAUCAAUUGUAAUCUUAUCACAUUAUGUAUUAAGAAUCUAGAAUAGAAGCUUAAAAGAGUUAGUUAAUGGAUUUUACCUAUAUUAGAGCCAUACGUUUCGACUCUCCCAUCUCUUAGAUCUCUUAGGUAAAUGGGGCAGCUUCGUCUCCAAUGCCCUUUCUCUUGGCAAUAAAAGCAAAUUGACUCUUUUGGAACAUGACAUGGAACUACUUCAGACAUUGCCUUUCUCUUAUGAUCAAACUUUUCGAUCAUAGCAUGUCUUUCGUUGCCAUUGUCUAUAUCCAUAGAGGUCUUGAAGGCAGAUUCACCAAUCAACUUUGCUUUUCUAUUGCGCCAAACCAUUGCUGAUUCAGCAGCAAUAAGCAUAUAGGUGAGAUCUAUAAGGGUCACGUCGCGGUUCAUCAUAUAGUACUCUCUUACGAACUCACUAUAUGAGUUAGGAAGUGACUGAAGAACCCAAUCAACAGCCAUUUCCUCACAGACAACGGAUCCCAACAUUCUUAACCUAUCAAUGUGUGACUUCAUCCCUAGGACGUGUGCACACACCGACUUUCCUUCUUUAUGUUUACUUGCCAAAAGGGCUUGAGUGAUCUUGAACUUUUCAAGCCUUUGAACUUGUGGGUUAGGGAGAAUAAUUGGAGGAGGUGGAGGAAGUGAAGCAUGAUUUCUUGUUCCUCGAUCGAAUCGUGGAAUAUCAUCUUCAUGUGGAAUGCUUGUUCCACGGGAUUUGGGAAGACCAUAGUUGUCGAACUUUGACAUCUACAAAACGGGAGAAAACGAAUUCAAGUUAGUUGAUUGAUUGAGUCCUUAGUAAAUCACCCAAAUGAGAUACUAAGGCUAGGACCCAACACAAUAUUCUACAACUCGGGAGAGGGAUGCCGUAACCCAAAUUGCAGAACAUUUGAAGGUAAGUGAAUGACGAUUCACUAAUUUCCACCAUGAAAAACGAAAAAGAAAUUUAAGUUUUAAAUCUAUGAAAACUCCUAGAUCCUUUGAGAUUCAUUGAACAUUUCAAUGGCAUGUUUAAAUCUCGAUAUGCCCCUCUUGUUUGUGACUGGGAUGCCGAGGAUCACAAAGCGGGUGUGAAUAACCAUGCAAACUUACAUGGUGCCCUCACAUGUUACAGUCACCUAUUCGAUGUGCCGGUAAACCACACACGCUCCACCGAACUAUGACAAACAUUGAGUCACCCUUUGCUACCUUUGCUUAGAACCAUUUAGUGUGCCGGUAAACCACACACGCUCCACUAACGUCUUCGCAAGGGCACAAAGUGUAAUUUCAUGGAAUUGCAUCAAUUCACUUUUGCCUAAGUAACUAAGAUUGGGAAUUUUAUGAAAACAUUUAGUUACUUUUAUACUUCAUUAUACUUAUAAUGGAAGGUUUCGUCCUAUCCUACCCGUUCGGCUAACGACCCUCCACUAGUCAAGAGUGCGGUGGGUAAGAGUGGAUACCCAUUCAAUCGCCAUUUUAUAGGCAAUUUCCUUAAACACCCCUUAUAGACCAGCUUCGUGAAUGAGGCCUACUAACGGUAAGACUGACUUUUACUCAUACAUAUAUAUAAUGUUAGACUUUUAAUGUUAUAUAUAGUAUAGGGUGUAUUUUACACUUUUAAAAUACUAGGUGGUCAAAUUUAACAAUUAUACUUUUAAUUCAAUUAAAUUGUAAACCUAAACUUUUAUGGAUUUAUUAAACCUCUUUUAAUUAUACACCUUAAUUAAUUAAUAAAACCAUAAGGGUGUGAUUUGAACUUUUUCAAAACUAUACUAGAGUUUUAGAAUUUAACAUUCCUAAUUAAACUUUUAAUCAACUUUUAAAUUCCAAAACUUGAGGGCAAGUUUUGAAACAUUUCAACACAUUAGGGUUUAGAAUUUAAAUAUACAUCAAAAUUAAACUAUUUAAUCAAAAUUUAAAUUCCAAAACUUGAGGGCAAGUUUUGAAACCUUUUUCAAAACAUUAGGGUUUCAACUAUUUAAAUUUCAAAACAA